AUACGUUUGCAGUGACGUAUGGUAUUUAUCGGAAAAAAAAAAAACACCUGUGUGUAAGUGGACACGUUCAGCUCAAACCCAGCUGUUCAAGCGUCUGAGGAACUUGGGAUUUGCUUUCGUCCUUUUAUGAGUGAGCUGAGCGUCUUUUCCUGGACUUGAAGGUCACUUCCAACUCGCGUUUGUCAGCUCUUCAUGUCUUAGCCCUCUUUCCUGUGGGUUUCUUGCCCAUUUUCCUCUCUCUUCUCUGUAGAAGAUCCAUGUUUUAAGGCUAUUAAUCAUUUGUGAUACAGGUUGCAAAUAUUUUUUCUCUGUCCUUCUAAUGUUUUGCGUAGGUUUUCGAAAACCCACCUGGAGGUGUAGCUGCUGGAGACACCUGUAGUUAUUUCUGAUGCAGUCUAUUCGUUCAAAUUUGUUACUUAUCAGAUAAAUUCCAGGCUUCGUGCAGCAGCCCUGCUGACCUCUGACCUGACUCGUCUCUGUGCAACGAUCCUGUGUAGCUGUUGGCCGCCGUGGGUUACAUCCUUGCAUCACCUCACUUGUGUAGAGGCCCUCGGGGCCAUUCCCUGCCUCUGACAGCUUUGGGCAGGGACCAGAUCUCGCUCAUGCCUCUGAUACCUGUUCCUGAACCCAGGUGUGGAAUGAUGCUUAAAAGUACGUAUUAGCUGGAGCCAUGACGGAGCAGCAAUUAUCAAGAUUGGCAAGAGCGCAAGCAUCAGUUCAAGUCGAAAACAAUUUUAGGGGCCAAAAAUAGGUCGUGUUUUGUUGAGACGCAGGAAAUAAUUUUCAUUAAUUUUAGUUUGAGGGCUUAAAAAAAAUAAAGCCUGUGUAAGCACUUCUGAU